UCUUCGAGUGUGGGGAAGAUGGUCGGAGUCGCGUCCUAUGGUCAUCAUGUUCCAUAUUUGGCACAGAGCAGGUGGCGCUAUCCGUUGAGAGAUAUGCAAGGCUGAAGUAUUUUCUUUGGGCGUGAACGCUAAAGUCUGUCUCCCAAACUGCAGUUUUUACUUUUUCUUUUGUCAAUAUGUAUACAUACAGAUUGGUUUAAAAAAUAUACCUAUUUAGUGGGACUUUUCAACAUUAUAUAUUCAAUGUUAGACUGCCGUGUUUUGCGCGCAACUACGGCUUCGGGAUAAAAAUGGCCAUGUGCCAAAUUCGGAACAUUCUGCACACCGGGUGCCGGUGCCAUUCGAAAGCGAAACUGUGCCACGGAGUGCUCUUCGUACGGGCUGCGCCGGCAGCCGCAAAGCUCUAUCUGAAAGCGAGGACACUGACCUGUCCGAGUCGGAUGGAGAUGAACUACCAUGUCAGUUGGAGAAAAAAAAAACACGUGCUAGUGAUUUGCAGCGAUUGAUUGGCGCUUCGCUUUGAAUGAUGCCUGCCCACGUAAACGUGCCAGCUCUAGGUCGUUUUGGACAGAGCUUAGGUGCGGUUGAUGGUGCUUAGGUGCCCUUACAAAUGACAGUAGAAUUCAAUAAUCUAACCAGAUCACUACUGAAACAGUCACGGCUACAACUCAGGUGAUAGGUACAGUGCAUGAAACCCCCUGUGAGGCGAGCCGUCAGCGGAAUGUGUUCCAUGUGAUGUUCAGUGUAUCUCGCGGUUUCUAGUUGUCCUAUAGACACUUUUUACAAGUUGAACUUGUUCUUGUGUUCCUGAAAUCAGCUAAAUAAAUAAGGUUUUUUUUUCGUUUUAGAUCAGGGGAACAUUUCAGCAGACGAUUCGGACAGCGAUACAGAUUCUGGAUUAUCUACACUUCCCACGAUGUCCAGCCGCAAUAACAAUCAAGACCAAAUUGUGUGGAAGCAUGGUCAUCUGACUAUCGACGAGUCUGAAUUGAUGUUCAUUGGUAACAGCUAUUUGCCUUCGUCAGUUCUGGAGCUGGGAACUCCGAACGACUUUUUUCAGCACAUAUUUACGCCUGAAUGUUUUCGUAUGAUCACUAAAACACGUGCUUUCAUUCGGCCUAAUCGAGGCCUGAAAAGCCCUUUUCGCUGACCGACGCGGACACGGAGGUUUUCAUCGGGUCUCUAUUGUGGAUGUCCCCGAUCCAACUGCCACGAACCAGGAUGUAUGGGAGCCCAAGAUUCUAUGUUCCCCAAGUGGCAAGUUUGAUGCCUGUGAACCGAUGGAAAGGGGUGAAGUUUUUUUGUUUUUUUUUAUUUACUUUUCUCACAACCUCACGGCAGUGCCGAAAGGACAAGACGGUCACACAGGCAACACAAGAUCCGGCCUUUGAUGGAAAGCAUAGAACAACGCUGUUUCUCAGUCCCGUUUGAAGAAGACCUUUCGGUGGAGGUGCAAAUUCGCGCGAUCAAGGGAAGGAGUGCACUAAAGUUAUAUAACCCAAAGAACCGCAUCGAUGGGGGGUACAAAAUAUUUGUCUUAUCAGGAGUCACUGGCUUCCCUUAUAACUUUGAACUCUACACUGGCCAAGAGAAUAUCGGUGUAGACAAAGCUGCCAACUGCGGUGCAGCGGAAACGUCAGUCUUCGCCUCACUUGAUCGGUCCCACAUCAUGUCAAGCACAAGGUCUACUUCGACAAUAAGUUUACUAGCCCGAAGCUGCAGGUAACGCUGUCCAAAGCCGGAAUACUAUCGCUAGGGACUGUCCGGGCGAACAGGCUGCGAGGUUGUCAGCUGAAGUCCGAAAAAGAGCUAAGGAAAAAAGGAAGAGGCUCUUUAGAGGAACUAAUGGGCGAACUGGACGGCUUUGAACUCUCCUGCGCGCGCUGGUUUGACAAUCGCGCAGUGACGUUCCUUUCUACUUUCAGGGGCAAUCUCCAGUGCAAAAAGCAAAGCGCUGGUCUUCUCCUAAAAAGGAGUUCACGGAUAUCGACUGUCCCGAUAUUGUACAAAAGUACAACAAGCUCAUGGGGGGUGUAGACCUUCUUGACUCUCUCCUUGGCCUCUACCGUAUCCACAUAAGGUCAAAGAAAUGAAGUCAAGGCAGAAGUUGUCAAAAGUCUGACCCGUCAGAACACGUCUAUACCCAACAGGAGACCUGGAAGGCCAUCCUACCACAACUCUCAAGCACAGCCCCAAUCGAAGAAUGCUCGUGGACCAGCGGAAAGUGCACCUGGUAAAGGUGACCGAACCGAUAAAGUGGGGCACUGGCCAGAGUUUUACAAUAAAAGGCAAAGAUGCAAGCAUCUGUUGUGUUAAAAAAAAUUGUCCGUGCGUUGUUCCAAGUGCAAUGUUCACCUCUGUUUGAAUGCUUGAAAUAACUGUUUCGUGUCUUUCCACACAUCAUAGAGAACGCUGAUUUAACGCUACGUACCAAGAAUGGCGUCUCAUGUGCAUAGUGUGCCAUAUAUGGUAAACAUUUGUUUUUUGUUAAAAACACGAUCAAUAAACGUGAUUGCUUUUUCACAAA